GAUGAAUUACUAGACAAUUUCAAAUAAUUCGAAGUUAAGCCCUUGCUAUUCCCACCAAUAGCUGGUAAGCUUACAACUAAUGUAUUUAAUACUUCGAAAUUUUGGUACGACGUUCGUAAGAAUGACUUCCCCGAUUUCUAAAGUUUCAGAUACACAAAUAUAUUGCGCUAUGCGCUCGGAGGUUUCACUCUUAUGGAACAAGGUACUGUAAAAUGGUUUAACGGCGACAAAGGUUUUGGCUUUAUUACUUUGGAAAACGGCUCAGACGUUUUCGUUCACUUCUCAGCUAUCAAUGCUGAUGGUUACAAGACUCUUGAAGAAGGUCAACAUGUAACCUUAGACGUAGAACAAGGCGACCGCGGCCCACAAGCAGCCAACGUUACUGUUGCUUAAUUCGUUUAAGUAAUUAGAAGAACCCACCGACUAAGUCGAUGGGUUCUUU
rfam:Lactobacillus mixtipabuli DNA, scaffold: sequence04, strain: IWT30.